GACUGCGGUGCCAAGAAAGUGUGAGUGGAAUUAAUUUAUAUAUCUAGAAUAUACAUGUAAGAUUUAAGAGACUUUGCCGGAUGGUUAGAACACAGACAGGUUAGUACUACAGCUACAUGUUACGUCUCUUACAUUUUAAAUUAUCUGUAUUUUUCAGAAAUAUGACAUUGACAAGAACAUUACUUCAGAGGACAGCACAAGGGGGUAAAAAAAUAAUAAAAUGGCUCCAGAGGGAGAGGCUGUUGUCAAGAAAAAAAACGAUGCCCUGUGUGCAACAACAGAAUGAAACUCAAAAGAACCAACACAACCAAGGAUGGAUAUAGGUGUUUGUUGCAGGGUUUGAGGAAGAGACAAGUGGACAUUAUCGAGGAUGGAGUACUGUAUGUGGAAGCAGCCAAUCACUGACCAGGGUGACCACACUGUUAAGAGAGAUCUGUGGUAAAGCAGUCAGGCGACUGGAGAUUGGACGGAAAAUGCGUAUAGGAGGGAGGAGAGCUUUUGUUGCCAUAGAUGAGAGCAAAUUCAGACACAAAAGAAGGUAUGGACGUGGAUGACGUGGACGCUCAUGGGUCUUUGGAAUGGUGGAAGUCAAGGGAUGCCAUAGACGUCCAAUCUUAAAGCAUGUAAAAUAUCAAUCCAGGAAGCGACUGCUCCCAAUUAUCCAGAAGUACAUUAGACCUGGUAGUAAAGUGAUAAGUGAUAGCUGGAGUGCCUACAACAGGUUAUCACGUCAUGGUUACAUUCACUAUCAGGUGAAUCACAGGAGACAUUUUGUCCACCCUGGGAGUGGUGCUCACACAGAGCAUAUUGAAUAGGCAUUGCGAAAUUAUAAAGAGGACAUUUACCGAUACAGAGGAAACCUGACAGAAAAGGCAUUAAAAAUGAACUUGAGGUUCAUUGAGUGGAACCACUUGCUUGGAAAGGAGCACAAGAAGAGUAUUCUUAGACGCCUUUGCAAAGACAUCAGAGCGUGCUACCAUGUUUAUGUGAUGCUGAUGGGCUAAAUACUGCAGAUUUCCUAUCAUGUAAUUAAUAGUUUCAGUCUAUUUAAAAAAGAAAUAAAAUUAAAAAUAGACUCAGAGCUGCUCAGAGGCCACAUUACAAACAUAUUACAAUGUGACACCCCAUAAACACAUCUACACUACAUCUGCAUUCACCAGUCAAACACAUUCAUACACUGAGCCUAAGUGCUCAAACAGAAACGAACACAUUCAUUCAAACAUUCAUACUCUGCCAGCCACCAGGGGCAAUUCGGGGUUCAGCACUUUGACAUGCAUUGCGGCAGUUCAAUGGGAUUAAACUGCCGACCUUCCGAUUAACGGCCAACCCGCUCUACCUCCUGAUCCACAGCCAGUCUAUUCUCUGCACCUCCAACACUGUCUGGUUUGGAUCUGCCACCAAAAAGGACAGCAGCAGACUACAACGGACAGUCAGGACUGCAGAAAAGAUCAUCAGUGCCAA